rnacentral:tRNA from 1 species
GCUACGGUAGUUUACCCACAAAACAUUAGCUUGUGAUGCUUAAAAUGGAGACUUCUCCACGCAGC